rfam:Myotis davidii contig37725, whole genome shotgun sequence.
CAUGCACCGGUGGGGUCCCUUGGCCUGGCCUGCACCCUCUUGCAAUCUGGGACCCCUUGGGGGAUGUCUGAGAGCCGCAGGCCAGGCCAUGGGACUCCACCGGUGCACG